rnacentral:lncRNA from 1 species
AGCAUAAGUACGUAACUAGCAUGCAAAUUCAACACCACCAGAAAGCUUAAUCUGACAAAUCAUAAGCGAGAUAUCCAGAUCCAGACCUUAUUUGGAUCAAAAGACUACCAGAUUUUGUCCCAAGACAUUCAAACAUAAUAAGAUCCUACAGCAACAGAUAUCAUUGUCUCUCCAAACCAUAGUUUAGUCCGUCAUGACGCAAGAUGAUGUUUGGGCAAGUAAAACAGGAGUGGUAAAUCACCGGCCGCCGAAUCCAGCAGCGUUGAGGCCGAGCAGCAUCUUGCCGUUGUCACCAGAGGGGAUGUAGGCAACGUUGGGUGAGCAGGCCAGCUCCGCGGCGAUCUCCUUGGCAGCCUCGAUCCUCCUCAGCUCGAUCAGCCCUGUCCCAGCGAUGGCGGUGGCCUCAGAAAUGAGCCGUGCAGACUCGCUUUCUCCCUCAGCACGCACGAUGGCAGCGCGCCUCUCCUGCUCGGCCUUGGCGACCAGGAACUUGGAGCGCUCAGCCUCCUGCUGCGCGACCUGCUUCUUCUCGACGGCCUGGGAGAAAUCGGCGCCGUAGGAGAGGUGGGUGAUGGCGACGUCGUCGAGUAUGAUGUUGAACUCGCGGGCCCUUUUGAUGAGGGAGUCGCGGACGAGCGCCGAGACGUGGGGACGGUCGGUGAGGAGCUGGUCGGCGUUGAACUGGGCGACGACGGCCUUGAGCACCUCGUUCCCGAUGGAGGGGAGCACCUUGUCGUCGUACUCGAGGCCGAGGGAGGUGAAGAUGGUGGGCAGGUUGACGAC